AUUGAACGCUGGCGGCAUGCCUUACACAUGCAAGUCGAACGGUAACAGGUUAAGCUGACGAGUGGCGAACGGGUGAGUAAUAUAUCGGAACGUGCCCAGUCGUGGGGGAUAACUGCUCGAAAGAGCAGCUAAUACCGCAUACGACCUGAGGGUGAAAGCGGGGGACCGUAAGGCCUCGCGCGAUUGGAGCGGCCGAUAUCAGAUUAGCUAGUUGGUGGGGUAAAAGCCUACCAAGGCGACGAUCUGUAGCUGGUCUGAGAGGACGACCAG
rnacentral:rRNA from 1 species